AGAGUUUGAUCAUGGCUCAGGAUGAACGCUAGCUACAGGCUUAACAUAUGCAAGUCGAGGGGCGAGCAUGGUCUUAGCUUGCUAAGGCCGAUGGCGACCGGCGCACGGGUGAGUAACGCGUAUCCAACCUGCCUUACACUCUUGGACAGCCUUCUGAAAGGGGAGAUUAAUACAAGAUGUUAUCAUGAGUAAGCAUUUUCGCAUGAUUAAAGGUUUACCGGUGUAAGAUGGGGAUGCGUUCCAUUAGAUAGUAGGCGGGGUAACGGCCCACCUAGUCUUCGAUGGAUAGGGGUUCUGAGAGGAAGGUCCCCCACAUUGGAACUGAGACACGGUCCAAAAUCCUACGGGAGGCAGCA
rnacentral:rRNA from 1 species